rnacentral:misc_RNA from 1 species
UAUCCGUAGGUGAACCUGCGGAGGGAUCAUUAUUGUAUGAUCGAGCUCCCAGGGCUGCCGCUGACCCGACCAUUCGUGCACGCCCGAGUGCCCCCACACCCACCCAUCUCGCCCCUAUGUGCACCCCCCCGUGGGCCCCCCUUUGGCUUGUUCGGAGGGGGGCUUACGUUUUCACACAAACUUUGUAUACAGUAUAGUAUGUAUAUUUUGUUUUUUCGAUCACCCACUCUAAACAACUUUCCACAACGGAACACUUGACUCUCGCACCGCUGAAGAACG